GUAAAUAAAACCCUAGAUACUUGAUUUUGUUGUGUUGAGCAUUCGAUCUACAGGAAAUAUCUUACUAGAAAGAAAGUAUCAUCGUCUCACACAGGCAUGAAGUAUUUGAUCUUCGUUGUGAGAUGGGAAUAGAAGAAGCUAGAUAGUGACAGUUCUGUUCGCUUUCGCCGACUAUCUUUAGCAGCAUGCAGGACAAGCCAGGACCAUGCCUCAUCGUCAUGGUAUUGCUGCCUCAACCUUAACUUUAGACAUUGCGUUUGGCUCAUACUGAAUAUUCAAUUCCCUGAAAGGGAAUAAUAAAAACCAGAAUCAUACUCUUGAUAAUAGUAGAUUCGUUUUAAACUGUUUGAUGGGAAUCGAGAUGUCAUUUACUCUUCAAACAAAUACUUUGGUUUGGUGCAUUACCCUAAAUGGAAAUUAGUUCCUUAUUGAACAUGUAUGAUUGUAUGUAUUUCAUUUAGUAUAAUUUGAAUGGUGUAGCCUAUCUUAGUUUACUGCAGCAGCAUGAUGUGUUAUUAUUUGACGGAGUAAUUAGAAUGGACAGGGCUUUUCUAUGAAAGAUGUGUUUGCUACGUAA